rnacentral:rRNA from 1 species
CCAGCCCGCUCAGAAACUCAAAGGAAGUUGACGGGGCCCGCACAAGCGGUGGAGCAUGUGGUUUAAUUCGAUGAUACGCGAGGAACCUUACCUGGGCUCGAACGUAAGAUGACUGUAGGUGAAAGCUUACAUCUCUUCGGAGCAUUUUACGAGGUGCUGCAUGGUUGUCGUCAGCUCGUGCCGUGAGGUGUCGGGUUAAGUCCCAUAACGAGCGCAACCCUACCUUUAGUUGCCAUCAGGUAAUGCUGGGGACUCUAAAGGAACUGCCUACGCAAGUAGUGAGGAAGGCGGGGAUGACGUCAAAUCAGCACGGCCCUUACGUCCAGGGCUACACACGUGCUACAAUGGCCGAUACAGAGGGCAGCUACCUGGUGACAGGAUGCAAAUCUCCAAAGUCGGUCUCAGUUCGGAUCGGAGUCUGCAACCCGACUCCGUGAAGUUGGAUUCGCUAGUAAUCGCGCAUCAGCCAUGGCGCGGUGAAUACGUUCCCGGGCCUU